CCUUGUACACACCGCCCGUCACACCAUGGGAGUUGUUCUUACCUGAAGCCGUGGCCCUAACCGCAAGGAGGGGAGCGUCUACGGUCGGAAUGAUGACUGGGGGUG
rnacentral:rRNA from 1 species